CUCAUCCUGUGUGCAGGGCGAAGCUUCUCUCUCUCCUUCAGGGCACCUUGUCUCCUUGAGCACUUUUUUUUUUGCCAUAAGAUAAAAGUUAAACCAAAUCUUUGUAUGGGACAGUAACAGACUGGAAAGUACUGCUGGUCAUUACGACACCCAGUAACAAUGACAUAAAAAUGAACUAAGAAUAAUAUCAAGAAUGAAAAGGGAGUGGGGGAUUAGAAGGGGAGGGAAGGGGGUUUAAAAGGAAACAAGCUGUAUUACAUACAUGUGCCAACUUCCCACAACGAUUGUAAAAUGCACGUGGAGCAAACCUGUACUAAGAAAAAGUACUCUAUGGCUCGCUUUUUUCAUGAAACGCUGUUAUUGUGAUGUCCCUAGGCUCACCUCCAUGUAAUGGCCACCAGGAGGUCAUUCUACAUACUCAUGGGAGCUGAGAGAUUUCAGAAGACUGUGAAGAAACACAGAUAGGAAUUUCAUACAAAGAGAGCCCAAAAGCUACCAAAAACUCAAGGUGCUACCUCCCCUGCCUGACCCAGCGUGGUGAGAACCUGGAAGGUGUGGGCUCGAGACCCAGGCUUCUUGCAUUUGGCCACGUGACAUCCACAGCAUGGGCCGCAUCACCUUUCUGUGGUGAGCACUCCCCUGUGCAGUGUGGAACACAUGGCCUUUCCGGUCACAGGGUGCUGGGGUACCCAGGCUUCGAGAGCACGGGGGACAAUAGGGAGGAAUCCAAAGUCCUGCCUUGCCUUCCUGCUUCUUCCUCUCCUGCUUCCUGUGUGGGCUCCCCAGCUCCUUCGCAGCCCCUGUCAUGGUUCCCCAAGUGCUAAGCUUCACAGCUGUGCAGGACGAUAGGUGAUGAGCUGCUUCCGUGAUGCCCACCAUCAGAUAAGCUAGUGGGAAACAGCUCUGCUGGACGAGGACCAGACUGGACGAGGGAAACUGAAUACUCCUCCAGGACAGCGGGAAACUUUAGCUUCCAGCCACAGGCUUCAGAGAAAGUGCAGCAGCCGUGGGGUCAGGUCGGAAGGCUGGUAGCUGUGCUACUGACA